CGGCAACAGCUCAAAUUUGAAAUCUGGCCUUUGGCCCGAGUUGUAAUUUGUAGAGGAUGCUUCUGGGCAGCGGCCGGUCUAAGUUCCUUGGAACAGGACGUCAUAGAGGGUGAGAAUCCCGUAUGCGACCGGCUUGCACCCGUCACGUAGCUCCUUCGAC
rnacentral:rRNA from 1 species